rnacentral:ncRNA from 2 species
AGUAAUGAGCGCCAGCGCGCAACCAAAGACUUGGUUGCACUGCCCUGACUUGCUGGCCGGCAACCCUCGAUUCCGGUGGGGUGCCUCAGGUGAGUACUCGGCAACGUAUUGAGGUUGCAAGCGUGGAAU